GACGAACGCUGGCGGCGUGCUUAACACAUGCAAGUCGAACGGAAAGGCCCUGCUUUUGUGGGGUGCUCGAGUGGCGAACGGGUGAGUAACACGUGAGUAACCUGCCCUUGACUUUGGGAUAACUUCAGGAAACUGGGGCUAAUACCGGAUAGGAGCUCCUGCUGCAUGGUGGGGGUUGGAAAGUUUCGGCGGUUGGGGAUGGACACGCGGCUUAUCAGCUUGUUGGAGGGGUAGUGGCUUACCAAGGCUUUGACGGGUAGCCGGCCUGAGAGGGUCACCGGCCCCAUUGGGCCUGAGCUACGGCCCAGACUCCUACGGGAGGCAGCAGUGGGGAAUAUUGCACAAUGGGCGGAAGCCUGAUGCAGCCACGCCGCGUGCGGGAUGACGGCCUUCGGGUUGUAAACCGCUUUCGCCUGUGACGAAGCGUGAGUGACGGUAAUGGGUAAAGAAGCACCGGCUAACUACGUG
rnacentral:rRNA from 1 species